rnacentral:lncRNA from 1 species
AAGGCGUGUAGCAUUAUCAUGUCUUGUGCCAUUCUGCACAAUAUAACUUUGUGGAUGAAUGAGCCUGAUCAAACUGCCAGAAGAUCAAGAAGAGGAGAUGCCUAAUGUAGACGCAGUGUACAAUGGAGCCAAUGAUGGAAAGAAAAUUAGGGAUCACAUCACUCAGAUGUACUUCACAAAUUAAAUUCACACAUUAACUUCUUAAUUACCUUUCCACUUUAUUUUGUCUCUCUUUAUUUUUCUAGAGGUAGAAGCUAUGCUUCC